CAGCAACUUCCCUCCUCAUAACAGAUACCUUUGAGCUGGAACUCAUCUGCCGCUAGCUCCUUGGCAUUUGUUCAGCACUGGCCGAGGAGCCAGAUCAACAAAUGGUGCUGAAGUCAGGACAAGCUGUUCUUGCUGGGCAGACUCCUUUUAUGAAAUACUGAUAAUAUUCAAAAUAAUUAGGCAACUGAGACCCCAGGUAACAGUGAAAGAGCCUAAGAAUGUCACAGUGAGAGGGGGCAGCGCAGAGCUCUAGUCCAUGUCCCUCAUGUGAGAGGAAACCAAAACCCAAAGCCACGAAGUGACCAGCCUGAGGCCACCAAGCCGAAGCCCUCUCAGGAAUGGGAUCAGCCCCGGUUCAAGAUCAAACUCUCUUCACAAUGCAAGAUAGAAAAAUCCCAUUAGCCCAAUCACUGGGCAGAGUUUCCAGAAACAACAAUCUAUUCCUGACUCCUUUUUAUAGUGAAAACAUACAAAAUAUAAAAGCUACCUAGCUCCCAAGCUGCCAAAAACCUAUUGCCAUCUGAUACCAUCCUACUCUACAUGUACAAUGCCAGAAAGGAGGCAGAAAAUUAGUGCCCCAAUCCUGGAUCUUUUCUGAGGAGAACUCAUCUGACUGAGAAUGAUCACCUUUUAAACUAGAUGUUAGUUUCAUUCUAAUCAAGCCUUGCGAAGAGAAUUAGGCAGAAAGUCUUCUUGGAAAAGGAGUCUGAAAGAAGAAGUUGGCAGCGUUCCAACAAACAUAGGCGUCAAAAAAAAAAAAAAAAUCUAACAACAUGAAUCUGUUCGCUAGCCAGAAAGAAAAUAUAUUGUAUAUUUAAGGCAGAGCAGCAACGUUGCAUAACUUGGGGGGGGGGGGGUACCAUUCACUUCAUAGUCUAUGUGAAUGGUGCCCCCUGGAGUUGUGCAGUGCACAACUGGUGAAACCAAACUUAGACAAAGUUGAUUCAGGGUAUCUAAGUCAGAAGAGUGUCUAUAAUAAGUGUAUUGGCUUUAGGCUAUGGAAAAAAUCUAAGUUGUUGUGGACUUCUCUGUAUAAAAUUCUUAAUGCACACAGUAAAACCCAAACUUCCCACA